rnacentral:rRNA from 1 species
GAUGAACGCUGGCGGCGUGCCUAAUACAUGCAAGUCGAGCGAACAGACGAGGAGCUUGCUCCUCUGACGUUAGCGGCGGACGGGUGAGUAACACGUGGAUAACCUACCUAUAAGACUGGGAUAACUUCGGGAAACCGGAGCUAAUACCGGAUAAUAUAUUGAACCGCAUGGUUCAAUAGUGAAAGACGGUUUUGCUGUCACUUAUAGAUGGAUCCGCGCCGCAUUAGCUAGUUGGUAAGGUAACGGCUUACCAAGGCAACGAUGCGUAGCCGACCUGAGAGGGUGAUCGGCCACACUGGAACUGGGACACGGUCCAGACUCCUACGGGAGGCAGCAGUAGGGAAUCUUCUGCAAUGGGCGAAAGCCUGACGGAGCAACGCCGCGUGAGUGAUGAAGGUCUUCGGAUCGUAAAACUCUGUUAUUAGGGAAGAACAAAUGUGUAAGUAACUAUGCACGUCUUGACGGUACCUAAUCAGAAAGCCACGGCUAACUACGUG